CGAAUCAAAAAAGAGAAAUUACAGUUAAAUGUUUUCUUUGGAUAAUUGUUGCGCAACUACAGCAAAAGCAACCGUUAUUACGGAAUUAGAUCUCUAGCUUAUAAAUCACGCCUAAUAACACCUUCUGUUGCAAUGGCGGAAAACGGGGUCUACUGUUCGACUUGGCCAAUUUCGUUUAACCAUUGUAAUUUGCCGUUUAAUCUCGGUGAAACCGUAUUAAAGAUCGAACCAAGUCUCAUGGUUUGCAAUUUGUGGCGAUAACGUCGACAAAUUAUGGUUACCGAAAGCCGUUCGAUUCCACAUCGAAGAAAGUAGAACUUUUUUGAUUUCUUCUAUCAGCUCAAGGUCAUUAUUUGUAAAUAAAGGUCAUCAUUUUUUUUUAGUUUCAAAAUCGACCGUAUCAUCUUAGUAAUCAAAUCCGUUUUGUUGUUCGAAUAUUACGGGAAAGUGACUAAGCAGAUGAAGAAGCGAGGCUGUAUGUUGCAGCCGCCGCGCCGAGAACAAAGUCUUCAAUAGUUGUCGGCCACUUUUAUGUUCGCGCUCGUUUCGAACGAGAAAGGAAAACACGAUGUGGAAAUAAGCGCGGUGUGAUAAAUGAAGUUAGAACGCAUUGUAAAUCUAUACAUACAUACAUACAUUCGAUGGGAGAAAAGAAAAAUAUUAACGUGUUUAAAGCUGGAUAAAUUAUUUUUUGAGUUAAAAAUCGCGGAUAAUCCACCAACAUAUGGCAUCCACAUACAUUGUCGAUUGGCACAAUUGGAUUCGCCUCGAUCUCGCAUCAUUACCUUUUUGUUCCGCGAUAACUGUAUUCCACCAUCUGCUGUUAAAACCCAUUAAAUGUCACAAAUAAAUUAUUGACGCACACCAUCUAAGAUAAAUUUUUAUAAUAAUACUCUAUGCAAUCCCCACCACCACCACUCAGUUUAAUCCAUAUUUCUUUUUAAUAAAUUAAUAAAAUUUAUAAUCAUUUAUUAAAUAAAAAGAUAAUAAUAAUUUCUUUUCAAAACACAAGUUUACAUUGACAUUUUCAACCUGAUUUAAAAAUGCUACCACAUGUUCGAGAACUGGUGGUAAAAUGUCACAUUAUUUAUUUAUAAAUGCGAGCCGCGAACUUUACUUACAAACAAUAUAAUCAUAAAAAAAGUUGUUCUUACGACCUGUUAAUUACUAAAUAGUACCUUGAACGGUAGCGUUCCAUUAUCUCAUAAAUUCAGUUUAAAUUUUUGAAUUUCCCGCUAAUAUUAAUUGGCUACAUUCAUUGUAUUCGUUAAUACGUCAAUCGUAUCGAAAUGUCAAAACACCGCAACUCCGCAACAAAUCGAGGUAAAUACCGUAUUUCCAAUAAUUUUACCCGUCUUUGAAGAGAGAAUGUUAAAAUCUUGUACUAGCAGCUGUUGGGGCAAAGAUUAUACCUUUCCCAGACGUCUGUCACCUGUUUCUGUUGUUUAUAUAACUGCACGGAUUAAUGAGAAGAUAAUUGAAGAGUUGUUUACUGCACUGGAAGAUUGUUAAGUGUUUAAGUGAAUGUUGUUGGGAGCAAGGAGAAUCGUGUAGAACAGCGUGAAGUCUUCGUCGUCGUCGAGAGGCGAAAAGCUCCUCUCGCCUAGUUACAAGAAAGAAAAAGAAGAAGAAACCGCGCGUUCGGAGAUGUAAACACAAUGGGUACUUACUAAAACACGAUCGUCGUAAAUUUACAAGAGCAAAGCGGUGGUUGUGGAUUCAAACGGAUAUUUUUCCGAGAAACGUUUUAAAAUUUUGGGUUAACCAACAAAAAAGAGGGAAAAUUUAAUUGUUUAAGCAUGACCUUUACCUGUAACCUUUUUCAAAUUGGUUAUCUCCUCCCAAAGAGACAAGUGCCAAUCCUAAUCCUUCAGGUAGAUGUCCUUAAAUCUUUAAAGCAUCUAAGAAAUUUCGAAACGAUUGUUACCAGGUAAAAAAAUGAGUAUUAAAAUUCUUUUGCUUUUA
rnacentral:lncRNA from 1 species